rnacentral:rRNA from 1 species
GAUGAACGCUGGCGGCGUGCCUAAUACAUGCAAGUCGAGCGAACAGACGAGGAUCUUGCUCCUCAGACGUUAGCGGCGGACGGGGGAGUAACACGUGGAUAACCUACCUAUAUGACUGGGAUAAGUUCGGGAAACCGGAGCUAAUACCGGAUAAUAUAUUGAACCGCAGGGUUCAAUAGGGAAAGACGGAUUUGCUGUUACUUAUAGAAGGAUCCGCGGCGCAUUAGCUAGUUGGUGGGGUCACGGCUUACCAAGGCGGCGAUGGGUAGCCGACCUGAGAGGGUGGACGGCCACAUUGGGACUGCGACACGGCCCAGACGCCUAAGGGAGGCAGCAGUAGGGAAUAAUGUAAAAUGGGCGGAAGUCUGAAGCAGCGACGCCGCGUGGGGAAGUACGGCCUUAGGGUUGUACACUCCUUGCGACCGCGAGGAAGCCACCUGGUUGGAAGGGUGGUGACGGUAGUGGUAGAAGAAGCCCCGGCUAACUACGUG